GAUGAAGAACGUAGUGAAAUGCGAUAAGUAAUGUGAAUUGCAGAAUUCCGUGAAUCAUCGAAUCUUUGAACGCACAUUGCGCCCUCUGGUAUUCCGGGGGGCAUGCCUGUCCGAGCGUCAUUUGCAACCCUCAAGCCCGGCUUGUGUGAUGGGUGCCGUCCCCUACGGGACGCGCCCCGAAGGCAAUGGCGGCGUCGCGGUUAUCCGAUCAGCCAAAGUGUAUGGGGCUUUGUCACUCACUUUACGGCCCGGACCGGCGCCAGUCCGAAUCAAUCUUUUUUCUAAAGUUGACCUCGGAUCAGGUAGGGAUACCCGCUGAACUUAAGCAUAUCAAUAGCGGAGGA
rnacentral:misc_RNA from 1 species